AUUGUCCAGGCUGGACUUCAACUUCUGGGCUCAAGCAGUUCUCCUGCCUUAGCUUCCUGAGCAGCUAGUACUACAGGCACGAGCAACCAUGCCCAGGUCCACGAGAGAAGAGGUGUGCUCAGGAGGGCUGACUGGAAGUCUGAAGACAGCAUGGCAUACAACCAAUGGGUGGAGAGCAGGAGCCAGAGAUGACAUAUGGGAUGAGGCCUUCAUUAAAGUCCAUGGGUAUUAUCCAUCAGGCUUUCCUGUAGGGAUUGUGGAUUGGUCAAUUUAAAGAAAACACUUGUGAACAGGAGUACUUAUCUACAUGAUUCUGACAUUGAUCAUUGAGUUUUAUCAUGGACAGUAGCUGUGGGAUUUUAGGCUAGUGAGAUAGGAAUAAGCAGGCCAUAUUGCAAACAACAACAGGGGCAAGAAAAGUUUUAACUAGUCCAAAGGUGAAGGAAUAUAAACAGGUUUCCAACAGUGGAUACCAGGCCUAAAAAUGGAUGCCAAGGCAACAACUAUAUUAAACAACUUUAUGACACAUACAUUUGUCAUAUAAAUAGUCAGUCCUCUUGUAUGUAGAGAAAAAGAAUAAUGAUUAAUAUGUAACAUGUUCAGAUUUUUGCCUAAUGGAUCUGCUUUUAAGUGAAGAGGUUACAUAUUCUAAUCUGCUCUAUAAGCCACAGUCUCUGUACUUGCUAACUAUUAUUUCACCUUUAUAAUGGCCCUCUGAGGUCAGUUGUAUCGUUUUUUUUUAACAGUUAAGAAAAUGGAAACUGAGGCUGCAAGAUGUAAAGUGAUUCCAAAGAUUAGUGAAAUGCACAACUUUUCCACUAUAUGAGGCUGGCCUAAAGAAUUCCUCAAAAGAUGUGGAGUAGGAGUAGCUUUGCAUUUAUUAUGAAGUCCCACAGGCACAAAGUGCCCUCUAAAGGCAUGAUUUUUUUUUCCUGACAAUUUUUAUUGGGUCAGGACAUAAUAACAUGACAUUUUUAUGGGACUUUCAUCUCAGAAUCCCAAAGCAAUCCCAAAGCACUUAGAACACAUUAUUUAGCUCUCACAACUUAAAAGGUAGGUAGCAAAUUAUUUUGAUAGGAAAUUAACUAUAAUAAGGCUGGCAACAACAGCAUAACAAGUGCUAGUGAAUUGCCUUAAAGGAAUGCAAAGGAUUCAUAUACAUUUCCUAGGUUAGAGGAGAGGCUACUUAUUAAAGGAAAGUGGAGUGGGAACAAGAUUUGAGAAGAUUUAGGAUCUCUUUCCAUGGGUGGAUGUCUUAGAGGUAGCAAUGUUUCUUGUGCUGUGAUUAGUGAGGUUGACUAUUAACUCUCAACAAACAUAUGGUCAUGUCUUCAAAAAUAAUUUUUUUGAAAAUAUAGCUAAAGAGUAGAGUUAUGGACAUCAUUCAGUUCAACAUUUAUUUUACACCACUAUAUAAAGCUUGUGGGAUGGAUAAGAUUUGGCUAUUUUUUAAAACAUUAUUUCUUGUCUACUCCUAUGCAUGGCAUCUGAGUAGAAAAUGCUGAAAUGAGUUUUUCCUAUGCCAAUAUUCCAAGAUAUCUCUUUUCUACUGUAAUGAUAGCAAUAUUUAUUGAAAGGCACAUUUGUCUUUUCACUUCCCUCUUUACUGAAGCCUUGAGAAUAAUUCCCAAAUAGAAUCAUAGCGUUCCAUUAAUCUGAGAAACUCUUAUGAUUACUCUAUUAUAAAGUAGUAACUGGGUUAUCCCCUGAAUAAUUAAGAAUCAUUAACUUAGUCCAGGUCAUUAAAGAUGAUCUGAUGUGGAAGACAGGUGAAUUUACUCAAGUAAAACAGAAACACACAGAGAUAAGUGGCUACCAAAGUUCCCACAGCUAAAUGCUGGUGGAGAUGGGAUUCACCCUUUGAUCUCUGACUCAAAUCUGGUGCUCUUUCUCAUUCAUCCCACUGAUAAAGAAAAAUGGUUUUGAUUUUACUUUCUUUUUGCCAAGGGCUUAUGCAAUUAACUUAUUGUGUACAAUUGAUAGGGACAGGGGGCAGAGAAAUUCUAGGCAGAAAAAGGCAGGUCCCCAGCAAAACCCCACGCUGAAGCUGGAAAGCCUGAAACCAUGGCCCAAAGUGAGAACCUAUGUCUCUGUUUUCCUAUUUGAAUGUUGUCUUUUCCUAAUCCACCCAUGGCUCUCCUCCACCUUAUCCUGUGCCUAUAAAAACCCCAGACUCAGCCAGCAGAUGAGACUAUGGCUGGACAUCAGAGAGAAGCAGCUUGACUUCAGAGGGACAGCUAGACCAUAUAACUUUGGAGAACAAUCUGGCUGGAUAUGGCUGGACUUCAGGGAAAGAUUACCUAUCCACCCCAUGCAUUUUUGAGCUCCCCUUCCCACUGACAGCCACUUUCAUUGGCAAUAAAAUCCCCCUCAUUUACCAUCUUUCAAUUUGUUCACGCAACCUCAUUUUUCUGGAUGCCAGACAAGAGCUCAGGAGCCGCAAGUGCAGAUACAAAAGGCUGUCACACUAGCCCUUUGCCCUUGCUGGCAGGGGGCAGCUGUCUCACGCAAAAAGGCAGAGGACCCAUAAAAAAUGAUGAGUUCAUGUCCUUUGUAGGGACAUAGAUGAAAUUGGAAACCAUCAUUCUCAGUAAACUAUCGCAAGAACAAAAAAACCAAACACCGUAUAUUCUCACUCAUAGGUGGGAAUUGAACAAUGAGAUCACAUGGACACAGGAAGGGG
rnacentral:lncRNA from 10 species